UUGGAAAAAAAAUGAAACUUUUGCCUGCGUUUUGCAUAUUUUCGUUUCGUUUUUUGGUUUGCAACGUAAAAUGUCGUUUAAAAUGAAACAAACCAGCAGCAGCAGCAGCAGCUGGCAGCCGUGGGCCUGGACGGGAAUCUCGGCUAAAGUCAGGCACCCGGAAGCUGCCACGCCCCAUAUUACCCCCCUUUACCUUUGGCGAACUUUAAGCAAACGCCCACAUCAUGCCCCAUCUUGGCUGCGUAAUCUAGCAACUACUCGAGCGGCAUAAAUUUUAGCAACAAGAGCAACGAAGACGACGACGACGACUGCAAUGUGGAGCCAUAAAAGUUACAACACAAUAAGCAGCAGCAGGGAGAGAGAGAGGGAGAGGGAGAGAGAGGGAGCGACAGACAGAGUGAAGUGACUAAUUUUCCCCGAGAUGUUUAUCGGAAAGGAAACGAAACGGCAGCUAAAAACAAAUUUCAUUUAACCGAAGCGAGACAAAAUCUUUUGUUUACACAACAGCGCGAGAGAGAAAAGGAGGCAGAGAAAGCAGUGAGAGUGCGAGAGGGAGAGGGAGAGAGAGAGAGAGUUCAUGGUGUACCCCUACAGCUCCACACAGAUUUCAUCGUGAAGGUCAAUAAACUAAGAGCAGGCAGAUCGGAGAUCUAUGCACAUAUGGUCGCAUAUUUAUUUAUUUAUAUAUCUAUAGGAAUAGUUAAAAUUUGAUUCGAAAAUUGAAAAUUAACAGCUGGAUAAAUAUGGGCAAGCCAAGUGCCUGGCGGGAAUAGCAGAGAAAAGUCAUCAAAGCCGGCGACAACAUUGAUCAUAAUGAUCUAUCCACGAAGAUAAUCACGUUCUAUUGGCCGUGCGUGCCUUCUUAAGGUGCUGACAAAUCAAUGAUGAGAGAGAAAGGGAGAGAGAGAGGAGGGCAGAUCCAUUUAAAUUUAGCAAAUAGCCAAAGAAACUGGAAAAACUAUGACAACGACACGAACAGCAUGUGCAGCAAUGAAGCGCAAAGCAAAAGACAAAUAACAAACAUCGAGAAAAUCUUUAGCAUUGAGGAAAAUGCUGCCUCCGCUUUCACACAUGACGCUGUCAACGCCGUCAGUGAAGCUGAAAGCGAAUUAAUGUUAAUCCGAUAAUCAAAUGGUAAGCUAUGGCUGUGUGUGUGUGUGUAUAUGUGUGUGAAAAUCGAGGAAAAACAAAUAGUUUUCAUCAGAUUCGAAAAUGUUGUCGCACGGAAAACAAAGUCAAAGUUGAGAUUGAGCAACUUGUGAAGAUGUUGCUGAAGUAAAUUUAAAGCGAAAAUGAAAAGAGAUUGGAAUUUGUCUAUAUGUAUAUCUACAUAUAUGUAUGCAUACAGUAUAAUCCGGAUAUAACGACGAUCCCUUCAGCUCUAUGGCCAUUCAAGAUUGCUCAUAUAAGUUUGACUUAGGACCGUACGGACGCUAUAAGCGUAGUCGCUAUAACCGGAUUCUACUGUAUAUCGAUUUCAACUUCAAUACAUAUCCACCUCUAAAUAUCUUAUAUAAGUAUGUAUAUAGAAAAACUGCAUCUAUAAAUCAAUGUGUUAAUAUG